rnacentral:rRNA from 1 species
UACAGAGGUCCCGAGCGUUGUUCGGAUUCACUGGGCGUAAAGGGUGCGUAGGUGGCCUGAAAAGUUUGAUGUGAAAGCUCAGGGCUUAACCCUGAAAUGGCAUUGAAUACUGUCGGGCUGGAGGUUUGGAGGGGGGACUGGAAUUCAUGGUGUAGCAGUGAAAUGCGUAGAGAUCAUGAGGAAGACCAGUGGCGAAGGCGGGUCUCUGGACAGUUCCUGACACUGAGGCACGAAGGCCAGGGGAGCAAACGGG